GAUGAACGCUGGCGGCGUGCUUAACACAUGCAAGUCGAGCGGAGAUAUAAAAAGGAAGCCCUUCGGGGUGGAAUUUUUACAUCUUAGCGGCGGACGGGUGCGGUAACACGUGGGUAACCUGCCCCUAUCACUGGGAUAACACACUGAAAAGUGUGCUAAUACCAGAUAACAUAAGCUUUUGGCAUCAUUAGCUUAUCAAAGAAUUUCGGAUAGGGAUGGGCCCGCGUCUGAUUAGCUAGUUGGUGAGGUAACGGCUCACCAAGGCAACGAUCAGUAGCCGACCUGAGAGGGUGAUCGGCCACACUGGAACUGAGACACGGUCCAGACUCCUACGGGAGGCAGCAGUGGGGAAUAUUGCACAAUGGGCGAAAGCCUGAUGCAGCAACGCCGCGUGAGCGAUGAAGGC
rnacentral:rRNA from 1 species